CCAAUAGCGUAUAUUAAAGUUGUUGCAGUUAAAAAGCUCGUAGUUGAACUUCGGGGUUUACCCAUUGGUCAGGUUUAAUUAUCUGUACUGGUGAGAUAAAUCUCUACCUUCUGAGGAACUUCCAUGCCAUUUAUUUGGUGUGGGAGGAAAUCAGGACUGUUACUUUGAAAAAAUUAGAGUGUUUAAAGCAGGCUAACGUCUGAAUACAUUAGCAUGGAAUAAUGAAAUAGGACGGACUGAUUCUAUUUCGUUGGUUUCUAGGAUCACCGUAAUGAUUAAUAGGGAUAGUUGGGGGCAUUAGUAUUCAAUUGUCAGAGGUGAAAUUCUUGGAUUUAUUGAAGACUAACUACUGCGAAAGCAUUUGCCAAGGAUGUUUUCAUUAAUCAAGAACGAAAGUUAGGGGAUCGAAGACGAUCAGAUACCGUCGUAGUCUUAACCAUAAACUAUGCCGACUAGGGAUCGGACGAAGUUAAUUUUAUAAUGACGCGUUCGGCACCUUACG
rnacentral:rRNA from 1 species